CAGCUCACUGUGCAUCUGUAUCACUGUGAUAACGAAGGUAGUUCUCCCGGGGUGAAGCUCAUCCCUUGCCCUCCGGAUGUGCUGACUACUGGGGCUUCCCCAGUGAGAGAAACUUGACUGUACAGUUUGUGGUAGUGGGGGUGUUCACACCCUCU
ensembl:snRNA LOC120095783 U1 spliceosomal RNA